GCAAUUCAUAUUUCAUCUUCAUCAAAAAAAGAAAUAGCCACUUUCUUGAAGAAAGUCACCUCUCAGGAACCUAAUCUUCAUGUUGUUGACAUUGAUCUACCACUUAUUGGAGUUUGUGCUCACAAUUAUUAAAAUGAACUUGAGGCUGCUAAAUCUGAGAUUCAAAGUUGGCAUUCUUCAAUUCAAAAUGAGCCUUGUGUACCUGCUGGUGCCACUCCUGAGCCCAAAAUGUUGCUUGAUUUUCUUCAGGCCUUGAAAUCCUCAGAGGAGUCUUUAAGAGAGCAGCUUGAAAAGGCAAAGAAAAAGGAAGCUGCGUUCAUUGUAACAUUUGCAAAACGAGAACAAGAGAUAGCAGAGUUGAAGGUAUCAUGCUCAAAAUAAGAUUUUUUCUAUAGCAUGGCUGUAUAUGUGCAAUUACAUUUUUUUCUGACAUCAACUUUUGACCACCUGAGUAAAAUUUAUUUCCACCCUUUUAAGAAUACUAACAAAUUUACCCACUCUUCAAUGCUAGUCAAGUUGAAAUAAUUGCCUUAUUUGUUGUCUGAGUGUAGAUCGGAUAUAGUAAGGUAGACAUCCUCUGCUCAGAAAGUGGGAAGCAGUGAAUAAUUUUGAUGGACCAAGAAUCUCAAGAAGCAAGUAUAUUGCCAUCAUCACUAAGAAGCUCAAGAAAGAAUGAAGCUAUCCAUAAAUUAGGAUAUUGAAUCUUGAUGAGUCCACUAGUAGUUAUUUGUCAUCUAAUGUAUUUAGAUUGUAUUAUUUCAUGGAAAUAAUUGCUUCUUAUUAUAAAGAAAGCGUUUUGUACUCACUGGUGUGUUUUUCUAUUUAUACCAUCAAUAAAAAUUUAUAUU